GCCGUGUUCUUUGGUAGCUAUGCAGUGAGGUCACCAUGCUCUAGGAACCAACAUUUGUCCUAUUUGGUGUCACCUCAGUCGUUUGGGUUCAGUCCUCAAAAUAGGACACAAGCAUCCACCGACGGGGUGAAGAGAGGAGAACCUGGUUCUGGGAAGAGGACUGCGGUGAGAUGGAUUGGACUGGGGAGAUGCUAGAGAUGGGGACCUGUUGGGGUUACUGUGUUGUCCAGGAACGUUUGAAAAUUUAGAAAUGCAGAAAGAAAAUGAAGAUCACCUGUAUCCUUGCCACCCAGAAAAACACACGCUCAGACCUUCCCUGGAGAGGAGAGGGACAGACCCUGAAGGGACCGAGUGUUUCCCCGUUUUACAUCAGAAGACACCAAGUUAUCCUGAGCAGAUGAUUUUCUACCCUCAGCAGAAAGGAAGCCCGAGAGCUCACUUUGCACCCUGGGACUUGGCCUGGGAACACAUGCAGACCAGCAAGGUCGUGCUUCCAGUUCCUCUGCUGCAAUCU